GAUGAACGCUGGCGGCGUGCCUAAUACAUGCAAGUCGAGCGAACGGACGAGAAGCUUGCUUCUCUGAUGUUAGCGGCGGACGGGUGAGUAACACGUGGAUAACCUACCUAUAAGACUGGGAUAACUUCGGGAAACCGGAGCUAAUACCGGAUAAUAUUUUGAACCGCAUGGUUCCAAAGUGAAAGACGGUCUUGCUGUCACUUAUAGAUGGAUCCGCGCUGCAUUAGCUAGUUGGUAAGGUAACGGCUUCCAAGGCAACGAUGCAUAGCCGACCUGAGAGGGUGAUCGGCCACACUGGAACUGAGACACGGUCCAGACUCCUACGGGGGGCAGCAGUAGAGAAUCUUCCGCAAUGGGCGAGAGCCUGACGGAGCAACGCCGCGUGAGGGAUGAAGGUCUUCGGAUCGUAGAACUCUGUUAUUAGGGAAGAACAUAUGUGUAAGUAACUGUGCACAUCUUGACGGUACCUAAUCAGAAAGCCACGGCUAACUACGUG
rnacentral:rRNA from 1 species